rnacentral:rRNA from 1 species
UACGAAGGGGGCUAGCGUUGUUCGGAAUUACUGGGCGUAAAGCGCGCGCAGGCGGUCUUCCAAGUCAGUGGUGAAAGCCCGGAGCUCAACUCCGGAACUGCCAUUGAAACUGUUAGACUUGAGGAUGAGAGAGGUGAGUGGAAUUCCCAGUGUAGAGGUGAAAUUCGUAGAUAUUGGGAAGAACACCGGUGGCGAAGGCGGCGAGCUGGUCCAUUACUGACGCUGAGGCGCGACAGCGUGGGGAGCAAACAGG